rnacentral:rRNA from 1 species
UUAAAGAUUGGGGAUAACCCCCGGGGAAACCCGGGGCUAAUAAUCCGGGAUAUUUACUUUUUAGUUGCAUUAACGGAGAAGUUGAAAAGGCGGGCUUUUUAGCUGUCACCUUUCAAGAAUGGGCCCGGGGGGGCCAUUAGCUUGGUUGGUAAAGGUAACGGCCUUAACCAAGGGCAACCGAUGCGUAACCCGACCUUAGAAGGGUGAUUCGGCCCACACUGGGACUGGAGACCCGGGCCCAGAAUCCUUACGGGAAGGCAGCAGUUAGGGAAUUUUUCCGCCAUGGACGGAAAUUCUGACGGAGGCAACGCCGGCGUGAGUGAUGAAGGUUUUCGGAUUCGUAAAACUCUGUUGUCAGGGAAGAACAAGUGCCGUUCAAAUAGGGCGGCACCUUGACGGUACCUGACCAGAAAGCCCCGGCUAACUACGUGCCAGCAGCCGCGGUAAUACGUAGGGGGCAAGCGUUGUCCGGAAUUAUUGGGCGUAAAGCGCGCGCAGGCGGUCCUUUAAGUCUGAUGUGAAAGCCCACGGCUUAACCGUGGAGGGCCAUUGGAAACUGGAGGACUUGAGUACAGAAGAGGAGAGUGGAAUUCCACGUGUAGCGGUGAAAUGCGUAGAGAUGUGGAGGAACACCAGUGGCGAAGGCGACUCUCUGGUCUGUAACUGACGCUGAGGUGCGAAAGCGUGGGGAGCGAACAGGAUUAGAUACCCUGGUAGUCCACGCCGUAAACGAUGAGUGCUAGGUGUUAGGGGGUUUCCGCCCCUUAGUGCUGAAGUUAACGCAUUAAGCACUCCGCCUGGGGAGUACGGCCGCAAGGCUGAAACUCAAAAGAAUUGACGGGGGGCCCGCACAAGCGGUGGAGCAUGUGGGUUUAAUUCGAAGCAACGCUGAAGAACCUUAACCAGGUCUUGGACAUCCUUCUGCCAAUCCUAAGAGAUAGGAUGUUCCC